CCUAUAAAUUAUUUUCCAAAUUUUCUGAAAAAUUAUUUAAGUCGAGCAAAAUAGUAAAACACAAUUAAAAAUGUGAAUAUUGUACCAUAAGCGUAUUGUCAUAUGUAGAACAUAAGAAAAAUAUCAAAAUCACAUUGCAGUGUAUAUAAUAAAUAGAAAUGUUGAAAUCACACUACUAGAAAUCACACUACUAUCUCAUACAACUCAAGGCAUAUAUUUACAUAACUAAAACAAAAUAUGCAUGUGCAUACAUGUAGCAACACAAAAUAUAGGAAAACACAUCUAAAAAAUAACAAGCAUGUGUCUAAAGAUAGAAAAAAAUCAAAUCUUUUUCUCAAAAGAAAUGAAGCCCUAAGUUGAUAUAAAUAUAUACUUCUAUAUAUGCAUAGGUGUUGAAAAAAGUUAACAUAACUAGUACUAAAUAAAAAUAAUCAAAACUCAACAUAUUAUUUUACCACUAAAUGUUGGAAAGAAAAAUCUAACACGCACCUUUGAAAAAUAGGAAAAACCAAGUUUUCUUCUCUCUUCUCCAUUUGCAGGAGUGGUUCACCCCCAGCCGCCCUAAAAAUGGGGCCAUUUUCAGGGGCGGGUGGGGGUGAGCCACCCCUACAAAUAUCAUUUUCAGGGGCGGCUCAAUUACUACAGUACAAUAUCCUAUUUGUAGGAACGGGUGACUUUUUGGUCCGCUCUUAAAAAAUUUGAGGUGUUGCUACAAAUUAUUUUUUAGUAGUGUUAUUUUCACAUACAGUCUAAAACACGGGGCGUCGACUGGCUUCCUGCACAAAUGGAUGUCCCAAUGGACCCGUGCAGAAGACGUGGUGCUUCGGUAGUGCAGUCAUUAUCAAUCUUUGGUAGUGCUAUAAAUAAUGCACAUGAUUUGAAUAUGUCAAGUUGUGCCUGGAAGCAUCGUGGGAGACUUGGCAUUAGUCAAGUCGUGUUUAUCCUGGUGGGUCGUUUGUGGUGAUUUGGCAAAAGAUGAUUUCAGAUUCUUCCACUAGCGAGAACCAUGCUAAAUGUUUCGUCUGUUUGCAGACUUGUGAUUCUUGCAGUCAAAAGUCCAAGCCUAAAGGAAAUAAAAAGAAAGGGGACAGACAGGGUUAUAGUGCACCAUGAUCCUCGUAUCCCUUCUGGUUUCUAGGAAAGGCACUACUGCAGAGUAAAGUACCCAUACAAUGAAAGCAACUGGUUGGAUGAAACAUGGCAUGGUUUUGGUUGGGCUACUACCAGAUCUGUAUUCUGAGAAAAAAAAGUUAGGACAAAUGAUAGAUCUGAAUUCCCAUUAAAAAAACUAAGCACAUUAUCCACUUUCAACAGGUGUGUACAUGAGUACGCAUGUACAUAUCUGUAUUUUUCCCGGGGAAACCCAUCCCCUGCGUAAUUUCUACUUUUUUCUUUCCUUUUUAGCAUAUAGAGCUACGAAACAGUUUUAAAAAACAUGCAAUUUUUACCAUAAGCAUGUAGUGACCUGUAGAACUGGAAAAAAAUAUGAAAAAUAUAAUUCAAUACGUUUAUUGUUAAAGGGUGUUCAAAACACAAAGUUAGCCUUAAGUUGUAUGAGAUAAUAGUGUCACAUAGGUAUACAUUGUUGUUUCAACACUUUUAUUCAUUAUAUUCUCUGACAUAUGUUCUAUGUUACACAUAUCACAAUAUGCAUAUGGUAAAAGUUUCAUAAUUUUAUCAUAUGUUUUACUAUUUUAUUUACAUUAAUCUAAUUUUUUGAAUAAUUUGAAAAAAGAUUUAUAGGGGCGGGCCGGCCCCCCACCCGGCCCAAAAAAUGGGACUCCUAUAUAUACCAAGACUUAGAGAAUUUUUUCAGUUUCCCGGGCGAACGUGAACAGAUGCUGGGAGGCUGCCAAAAUUUCGACCUCCAUCUCCGCCACCGCUUCAGAUCUGCCGCCGCCAUCUCCUCUGCCACCGCCGCCACCGCGCCGGAUCUGCCGCCGCCCCGACCACCGGACCCGCCUCUGCGCUGGCCCGCCGCUGCACCUCCACGCCGGAUCCACGCGCACACGGAUGCCUCCUCCUCUUCCCCUUGAUGUUCUGUGGUGGAGGCCGUGGUACAGGUCGUGGCCGUAUUCAUGAUUGUGAUGCUCAAUAGCCAGGCCUACACUUCCAUGAAGCCAUUGUCUUCCCACCAGGCGAUCGAACGCGCGGAUCAAUUCCAAAUGUUGUAAUAUUCAUUUGUUAUUUUCAUAUAGUUUUACUUACAUUCAAUAAUUUUUAAAUCUGCUCACAUACAAUGCAGCAUAUUACCCUUAUUAGAUGGGUUGAUGUUGUCAAAGGUUUGGGUGAUACUACUCCUGUGGUAUGACUCGAGCUUGUUCGGCAACCGGAUUUCAAAAGGGUACAUACAAGUACCUAUUCGACAUAUAGAUUUUGCCUCAAUGGAACCAGGAGAGGAUCCAAUCUCCUUGACGAUACCCAUGGUUUUAAUUACUGCAAUGGGUGGAGAGGCACAAAUUUGGACAACUUAUGAGAGGCUAGCGGUGGAGGCCUGCCUCCAGCACCUUAAGGAUCAUGGGUACUUUGUGUCUGACUUUUUAUAUUUUCAAAUUAAGCAGCUAUAGACGAGAGAAAGCAAUAUUAUUCUAACUAUUGAGAGGCUUUGCUGGCUUAUUCGACAAGACAGAGAUCUCAUUGAUGGUGAAUCUACCAUUGCGGCAGUUAGCUUUCAGGCUAUUCUGAAUCAAGUCAUGGACUACUUAGGUUUGAUUUACAUGGAGAGUCAUUCUUUACUAGAGAUUUCAGGUUCCAAGCAAAACUCUGCUUUUGCAGAACAAGUCAGUUUAGCAUUCCAUUGUUCGAUAUUUGUAGUUCUAUAUGUGGUAUUGGAAAGCGGACGAGAGUGCACUUGUUCGUUCUUUAGUAUAUUUUGAUGAAGUUCUAGGCUGGACGGAGACUUUAACUUAGAUAUCUACAGAUGCAGGCAUUUCAGUAGCUUGAAAUUUGUAAUAUGCAUUGAUGUACCGCUACUAUUAUCUUUGAACAGCUUGUACAAACUUAAAUAUUUGAAAUAUGCAUGGAUGUACCGCAACUAUUAUAUUUGAGCAGCUUAUACAAACUUAAGUAUUUGUAAUAUGCAUGGACGUCCUACCUUUAUC